GAUGAACGCUGGCGGCGUGCCUAAUACAUGCAAGUCGAGCGAACAGACGAGGAGCUUGCUCCUCUGACGUUAGCGGCGGACGGGUGAGUAACACGUGGAUAACCUACCUAUAAGACUGGGAUAACUUCGGGAAACCGGAGCUAAUACCGGAUAAUAUAUUGAACCGCAUGGUUCAAUAGUGAAAGACGGUUUUGCUGUCACUUAUAGAUGGAUCCGCGCCGCAUUAGCUAGUUGGUAAGGUAACGGCUUACCAAGGCAACGAUGCGUAGCCGACCUGAGAGGGUGAUAGGCCAAACUGGAAGUGAGACACGGACCAGACGCCUACGGGAGGCAGCAGUAGGGAAUCUUCCGCAAUGGGCGAAAGCCUGACGGAGCAACGCCGCGUGAGUGAAGAAGGUCUUCGGAUCGUAAAAAUCUGUUAUUAGGGAAGAAAAAAUGUGUAAGUAACUAUGCACGUAUUGACGGUACCUAAUCAGAAAGCCACGGCUAACUACGUG
rnacentral:rRNA from 1 species